rnacentral:rRNA from 1 species
UACGUAGGGGGCAAGCGUUGUCCGGAAUCAUUGGGCGUAAAGCGCGUGUAGGCGGUUCGAUAAGUCUGCUGUGAAAGUCCAGGGCUCAACCCUGGAAAGCCGGUGGAUACUGUCGGACUAGAGUGCGGAAGAGGCGAGUGGAAUUCCCGGUGUAGCGGUGAAAUGCGCAGAUAUCAGGAAGAACACCCGUGGCGAAGGCGGCUCUCUGGGACGGUACUGACGCUGAGACGCGAAAGCGUGGGGAGCGAACAGG